UGAACAUCUUUUCUAGAUGUAUGUCUUCUCUUGUGACUUUCUGACUGUGUCCUUAGCAAGGGCUGUCUGUCUGUCUUGUCUCUAUGUCUCUCUUGAUACCCAGUUAAGAAAUGUGACCAUCCUAAAAGCUAAUACAUGAUAUGGAAAGAAAGAAUUAGUGGGGCUUCAAAUGCAAUCUGAAUCCAGGCACAUGGACCACAGCCUCAGCCGCAGCUGGAGCUUGGAGCUGACCUGUGUUCUUCCAGGAGGGGCAGGUGAGGAAGAGCUGCAGGUGAUUCAGCCUGAGAAGUCCGUAUCAGUCACAGCUGGAGACUAUGUCACACCUGGAGACUGGUCAUUGCACUGUGACCUCCCUGAUGCCUAUAGGGCCCAUCCAGUGAUUCAGAGGAACUGGACCAGGCCAGGAAUUAAUCUACAGCCAAAAAGAAGGCAACUUCCCCUGGAUAAGAACUGUUUCAGACAUCACAAAGAAAAACAACAUGAACUAUUCCAUCCAUAUCUGUAGCAUCAUGCCGGCAGAGCCGGCACCUACUACCAUGUGAAAUUCCAGAAAGGGAGCUUAACGCAGAGAUUAAGUCUGGACCAGGCACCCAGAUGUUUGUGUGUGCUAAGCCCUCUCUUCCAAAGAUUUCUGGCCACUCCAACAGGGAUAGCCCAGGCCAACUAGUGAAUCUCACCUGCACCUCAACUGGCUUCUUUGCAGAAAACAUAUAUAUGAAAUGACUCAAAAAUGGCAUAGCGCUUCCAGCCUUUCAGAGCCACGUCUCCUCACCUGCAGAUGCUUCCUCCUACACUGUCAUCAGCACUGCUACAGUGACCCUUGGCUUCUCCUCACUCCACUCCCAGGUCACCUGCCAGUUGGCUCAUAGUGAAUUGCAGAGCCCCCUCAGAGGGCAUGUGAACAUCUCCCAAUUUCUCCAAGAGCUCCCUUCCGUCUAACGUCUUUGGGAAGUGGAACUUCAUUCACUAAUUCGACAGGUUUUUGUUGAGCAUCUGCUAUGUGGUGGCAUCAUUCUAGGUGCUGGAGAUUCUAAGGUAAACCAAGCAGACCUGGUUCUGCCUUGCUGAGUUUACAGUCAUGUGAACCCAAUCAACCAAGACGCAAACAACUGUGUGGUUAUGAUUCAUCACAUUUGCUAUGAAGAGAAAGAACAAAUUGUUGAAAUAUAUGAAAAGGAGAGAAAUCCAGUUUACUCAGGAAAUGCCUUUUUGAAGAAAUGAUGUUUGAGCCAAGGCAUGGAGUAUGAAAAGGAGUCAGCCAAGCAAAGUGCAGUGUUCAAGGCACAGGAACCAGAGCAUGCAAAGGCCCUGUGCUGCCGUGGGGAGCAAGACAUGUCUGAGGAGCAGAGACGAAGCCAGUGUGGCUGAGGCCUAGUGAGAGGAUGCUGUGGAUCAGGAAUUCCAGCAGGGCUGGGCAAGGACAGCUUGCUCUCUUCCAUGAUGGUGAAGCCUCAGCUGGACAAUUCAGAGGCUGGAAUCACCUGAAGACUCCUUCACUAACAUGCCUGGCCAUUAGUGCUGGCUAUUCUUGGCAUGGGCUUUUCCUUAUUAUCUUUCUGUUGCCAGAAAAAGAGUUCCUAUUCACAUUCCAAGAGGGGGUUGUUG